rnacentral:lncRNA from 1 species
CCAUCGAGCAUGUUAUAUUUACGUUGUGGUGGACAUAUCAGAUGUGAACCCCCAUCUUUUGAACGCUACUAUCGGAGAAUAUAAUUGUUGGUGCGAGAAUUCACUUGACAUUGGAAUGCUGGAGUUGACGAUGAAGUGGACCUCUUGGGGGUGUGACUUGUAAAAAAUUCUGACCAAAGGUUGUUCCGACGAAAAUCCUCCAACGCUUAAGUCAAAACUCUCAUUCAAUAGAAAAAAGAGUAUGAGA